rnacentral:rRNA from 1 species
CCUACGGGCGGCAGCAGUGAGGAAUAUUGGUCAAUGGGCGAAAGCCUGAACCAGCCAAGUCGCGUGAAGGAAGAAGGAUCUAUGGUUUGUAAACUUCUUUUAUAGGGGAAUAAAGGGAGGAACGUGUUCCUGUUUGGAUAUAACAUAUGAAUAAGCAUCGGCUAACUCCGUGCCAGCCGCCGCGGUAAUACGGAGGAUUCGAGCGUUUUCCCGAUUUAUUGGGGUUAAAGGGUUCGUAGGUGGUUAUUUAAGUCAACGGUGAAAGUUUGUGGCUCAAACAUAAUAUUGCCGUUGAAACUGGGUGACUUGAGUGUGGUUGAGGAAGGCGGAAUGCGUGGUGUAGCGGUGAAAUGCAUAGAUAUCACGCAGAACUCCGAUUGCGAAGGCAGCUUACUAAACUAUAACUGACACUGAAGCACGAAAGCGUGGGGAUCAAACAGGAUUAGAUACCCGGGUAGUC